GUCUCGCUCUGUCGCCCAGGCUGGAAUGCAGUGGUGUGAUCUCGGCUCACUGCAACCUCCGCCUUCCGGGUACAAGUGAUUCUCCUGCCUCAGCCUCCCAAGUAGCUGGAAUUACAGCCAACCAUACAACUGCAGAGAUCCACAGAGCUACCGUUUGAGGAAUAAGGAACCCUGUACAUAGCCAGGGGCAUUCUAAAAUCCCCAAACUUGAAUCCUACUUCCGACUUUGCUAGGACACCGCAGGAAUUACCAUCAAAGAAGGAAAAAGAUGCACAGAAGUUUCCCAUUCGACAGCUACGAUUCUACAACCCCAUAGUCUUUCUAAACCACAGGCUGCAUUUUC
rnacentral:lncRNA from 1 species